CACACGCACUAUCAAGAUCUGGAUUUAUGCUAAUCGACUGACUGUUAUAUGUAAAUUUCUAUAAAGACCAAACUAGGAUCUAUGAGAAAAAAACUAUCUUCGUGAUAAGAUCAUCUUAAAGUACGAAGAGAUUGAGCUUUAUUAAAAAUAUACCUAGCCAUACUCCUGCUUCCGUUGCAACUGAAUGCGUAGGUAAACAAAUACUACAGUUGAUAUGAUACUACAUUUAUUUUUUCGUAUAAGCUAAACGACACGAUACACUUAGUGAUUUGUCUAAGAUAAGAGACACCUUAUAGUAACUCAAUUUCCCAACCGGUAUGAAAAUUUAUAUCCCAAAUUGAUCUAAAGUUAAACUGAGAAAGCACAAGGAAAAACUUUAGCUAAGAAGAAUGAUCAAAUGAUGGCAAAUAAAGAACAUGUAGCAGAUCAUUUAGGAGAAUAUUAAAUAGUAGAGAAGAAAUGGUCGUAUGCAAGAAUAAUAAACUAGUCUGAAGUCUUGUAUACUAAUGUUCCAUUAGAGCAAGAGCAUCAGUGAACCCCUUUUUGGGGUUCAUCUUCUUAAUUUUUUAUUAUUAAAUUUUUUCCUUUUUUUUGAUUUUAUUUAAAAAAAAAUAAAUUGACCAAUCACGAGUCGCCACGUGUCGUGGGGCCCGCGCUACAGUGAUGAACUUUAGGAGAGAGGAUAUCACACAGGAGAGGCGAGACGAACCAAAUUCACCGCUUUUGCUUUUUUUAAUAUUUUUUUUUCUUCGUAAAACGUGUGAUACUCUCCUUUAAACCUCUAAUGCUCAUGGCCUUAGUAUAUUAACCAGUGGGAUAGAGCUCUUUUUAUUCCAUUAACCGCAAUGGGUUGAUAGUUAACGAGUGAUCCACUAAAUUUCCACUUAAUUAAUUGACAUAGGAAUGUAGGGUCGUUAGCAAUAUUCUUUUUAACAAACAAAAAUUUAUUAGCAAUGCUCCUUUUUUUUGAGAACUAAUACUCUUAAUUAUUUUUUUUCUUAAUACUUUUAACAACGUUACUCAAACG
rnacentral:lncRNA from 1 species